GACGAACGCUGGCGGUGUGCUUAACACAUGCAAGUCGAACGGAAAGGCCCUUUUUGGGGUACACUCGUGUCGCAAGGGUGAGUAUCACGUGUGUAACCUGUCCUCCUCACUGGGGUAUCAGUCGGGAACAGUUGGUAAAAUUGGGUAUGGGCCUGUCGGGCAUCGUGUGGGUUGGAAAGAUUUUUUGGGUUGGGGUGGGACCCGCGCCUUUUCAGCUUGUUGGUGGGGUAUGGGCUUCCCAAGGGUUCGCCGGGUAGCGGGCCUGAGAGGGGAGCCGGCCACAUUGGGACUGAGUACGGCCCAAGCCCCUAACGGGAGCAACCGUUGGGAAAAUUGCACAAUGGACGGAAGUCUGAUGCAGCAGCGGCGCGUGCGGGAUGACGGCCUUCGGGUUGUAAACCGCUUUCAAUCGUGACGAAGCUUUUUGUGACGGUACCAGUAGAAGAAGCACCGGCUAACUACGUG
rnacentral:rRNA from 1 species